rnacentral:rRNA from 1 species
AACGAACGCUGGCGGCAUGCCUAACACAUGCAAGUCGAACGGCAGCACGGGAGCAAUCCUGGUGGCGAGUGGCGAACGGGUGAGUAAUAUAUCGGAACGUGCCCAGUCGUGGGGAUAACGUAGCGAAAGCUACGCUAAUACCGCAUACGAUCUACGGAUGAAAGCGGGGGAUCGCAAGACCUCGCGCGAUUGGAGCGGCCGAUAUCAGAUUAGGUAGUUGGUGAGGUAAAGGCUCACCAAGCCGACGAUCUGUAGCUGGUCUGAGAGGACGACCAGCCACACUGGGACUGAGACACGGCCCAGACUCCUACGGGAGGCAGCAGUGGGGAAUUUUGGACAAUGGGCGCAAGCCUGAUCCAGCAAUGCCGCGUGCAGGAUGAAGGCCUUCGGUUGGUAAAC